UACGUAGGGGCUAGUGUUAUCCGGAAUUACUGGGCGUAAAGGGUGCGUAGGUGGUUUCUUAAGUCAGAGGUGAAAGGCUACGGCCCAACCGUAGUAAGCCUUUGAAACUGGGAAACUUGAGUACAGGAGAGGAGAGUGGAAUUCCUAGUGUAGCGGUGAAAUGCGUAGAUAUUAGGAGGAACACCAGUUGCGAAGGCGGCUCUCUGGACUGUAACUGACACUGAGGCACGAAAGCGUGGGGAGCAAACAGGAUUAGAUACCCUGGUAGUCCCUGAGCGGGCU
rnacentral:rRNA from 1 species